rnacentral:rRNA from 1 species
CAAUAGCGUAUAUUUAAGUUGUUGCAGUUAAAAAGCUCGUAGUUGGAUUUCGGAUGGGAUUUGCCGGUCCGUCGUUACGAUGUGCACUGGCCAGUCCUAUCUUGUUGUCGGGGACUAGCUCCUUGGAUUCACUUCCUGGGACUAGGAGCUGACGAGGUUACUUUGAGUAAAUUAGAGUGUUCAAAGCAAGCCUACGCUCUGAAUACAUUAGCAUGGAAUAACACGAUAGGACUCUGGCUUAUCUUGUUGGUCUGUGAGACCAGAGUAAUGAUUAAGAGGGACAGUCGGGGACAUUCGUAUUUCAUUGUCAGAGGUGAAAUUCUUGGAUUUAUGAAAGACGUACUUCUGCGAAAGCAUUUGUCAAGGAUGUUUUCAUUAA